rnacentral:rRNA from 1 species
GACGUAGGAUGCGAGCGUUGUUCGGAUUUAUUGGGCGUAAAGCGUACGUAGGCGGUUUUGCAAGUGGGAGGUUAAAGACCAGAGCUCAACUCUGGGAGUGCCCCCCAAACUGCGAGACUAGAGGACCAUAGGGGAAGGUGGAAUUCCGAGUGUAGCGGUGAAAUGCGUAGAUAUUCGGAGGAACACCGGUGGCGAAAGCGACCUUCUGGGUGGUAUCUGACGCUGAGGUACGAAAGCGUGGGGAGCAAACAGG